rnacentral:rRNA from 1 species
GACUGGGAUAACUUCGGGAAACCGGAGCUAAUACCGGAUAACAUUUAGAACCGCAUGGUUCUAAAGUGAAAGAUGGUUUUGCUAUCACUUAUAGAUGGACCCGCGCCGUAUUAGCUAGUUGGUAAGGUGACGGCUUACCAAGGCGACGAUACGUAGCCGACCUGAGAGGGUGAUCGGCCACACUGGAACUGAGACACGGUCCAGACUCCUACGGGAGGCAGCAGUAGGGAAUCUUCCGCAAUGGGCGAAAGCCUGACGGAGCAACGCCGCGUGAGUGAUGAAGGGUUUCGGCUCGUAAAACUCUGUUAUUAGGGAAGAACAAAUGUGUAAGUAACUGUGCACAUCUUGACGGUACCUAAUCAGAAAGCCACGGCUAACUACGUGCCAGCAGCCGCGGUAAUACGUAGGUGGCAAGCGUUAUCCGGAAUUAUUGGGCGUAAAGCGCGCGUAGGCGGUUUCUUAAGUCUGAUGUGAAAGCCCACGGCUCAACCGUGGAGGGUCAUUGGAAACUGGGAAACUUGAGUGCAGAAGAGGAAAGUGGAAUUCCAUGUGUAGCGGUGAAAUGCGCAGAGGUAUGGAGGAACACCAGUGGCGAAGGCGACUUUCUGGUCUGUAACUGACGCUGAUGUGCGAAAGCGUGGGGAUCAAACAGGAUUAGAUACCCUGGUAGUCCACGCCGUAAACGAUGAGUGCUAAGUGUUAGGGGGUUUCCGCCCCUUAGUGCUGCAGCUAACGCAUUAAGCACUCCGCCUGGGGAGUACGACCGCAAGGUUGAAACUCAGAG